AAAACAGCUCUUUUCAGAGCCACACACUGCCUGCAAUGAGUCUCGU
rfam:Stegodyphus mimosarum contig111160, whole genome shotgun sequence.